CUUGUUUCUGGGGUCCCCAUAAGUAGUACACUAGACAAGCAUGGGGCACAGCCAGGGGUGAAUGUUGUGAAUGAGUGGGGAUGCUGAUUGUAUUGUUGCUUGUGUGGGAAUGUUCCCUUUGUGGGGGUUGCUUGUGAUGUUGCAUGUGUGUAUGGGGAGGCUGCUUGUUGUGUUUUGUGUGUGUAAGGGGAAGCUGAUUGUGGUAUUACCCACAAUUAGAAGAAACUAGUUCAUUGAUAUAUUGUUAGAAUGCUCAGGGGCAGGGCGUUUAUCAGCACGUUUAUACGGCACAUAGUGUAUUGUCUGUCUGUGGGACUGCAUGUG